rnacentral:rRNA from 1 species
UACGAACCGUGCGAACGUUGUUCGGAAUCACUGGGCUUAAAGGGCGCGUAGGCGGGCCCGCAAGUCAGGGGUGAAAUCCCACGGCUCAACCGUGGAAGUGCCUUUGAUACUGCGGGUCUCGAGGGAGGUAGGGGCGUGCGGAACUUCCGGUGGAGCGGUGAAAUGCGUAGAUAUCGGAAGGAACACCGAUGGCGAAGGCAGCCCCCUGGGCCAACACUGACGCUCAGGCACGAAAGCGUGGGGAGCAAACAGG